GUCUGCGGCCAUGCCACCCUGAAUGCUUUGGAUCUCGUCUGACCUCGGAAGCUGAGCAGGGUUGGGCCUGGUUAGUACUUGGAUGGGAGAUUUCAUGAAUCUGUGCAUUGAUU
rnacentral:rRNA from 1 species